GAGGGUGCAGCGGUGGCCAAAGAAAGAAGAUGGGAAGAGAAGAGGAGGAUACGACGUAGAGGGAAGAGAAAACAGAGAAGAGAGAAGAGCGAGUUUACAGAAUUGCCCUUCAUGUUGUGCUGAAAAUUCAAUUUUGUCUUUGCAUUUUAAUGGAAAUUACAAAAUUGCCCAUGGUGUUAUAUUUGUGUCAUAAUUUGUGUGUUCAGUUAUCAUUUCUGAAUUUUUUUCUUUCUCUUUCUUCUCUCCCUCUCCCACUGCUUCCUUUCUCUCUCAUCUUCCACCAACCAACAACCCACUGUACCUCCUUCUCUCCGGCCAUCGACCACCGGCGACCACCACCAUCAACCUUCUCAUUUCGCGCCACCACCAUCAUCCCUCUUCUCUGAUCCACUCGGAUCUAUCACACCACCAUCACCACUAUCCCUUUUCUUUCUAUCCCCUUCAUUACUCCCAAAUAAUCUCGCCGACGUUGUUAAGAUCUGCUUCGCUCUCUUAAAGACCAGAUCUCACACCUCCGUUCUCUGUCGUCGUCGUUAAACUCGCCGUCGCCGAUAACCAAACGCAAAUUACCGGAAAGACAGAUGAAUAGGAAAACUAGAAUAAAAAAAGAUGGAAGGAGGUGGUGAUAAAUACAUCGGCGGCGAAGAGCGGAGGGGAGGGUGCAGCGGUGGCCAAAGAAAGAAGAUGGGAAGAGAAGAGGAGGAUACGAGGUAGAGGGAAGAGAAAACAGAGAAGAGAGAAGAGCGAGUUUACAGAAUUGCCCUUCAUGUUGUGCUGAAAAUUCAAUUUUGUCUUUGCAUUUUAAUGGAAAUUACAAAAUUGCCCAUGGUGUUGUAUUUGUGUCAUAAUUUGUGUGUUCAGUUAUC
rnacentral:lncRNA from 1 species